rnacentral:rRNA from 1 species
AGAGUUUGAUCAUGGCUCAGAUUGAACGCUGGCGGCAGGCCUAACACAUGCAAGUCGAACGGUAACAGGAAGAAGCUUGCUUCUUUGCUGACGAGUGGCGGACGGGUGAGUAAUGUCUGGGAAACUGCCUGAUGGAGGGGGAUAACUACUGGAAACGGUAGCUAAUACCGCAUAACGUCGCAAGACCAAAGAGGGGGACCUUCGGGCCUCUUGCCAUCGGAUGUGCCCAGAUGGGAUUAGCUUGUUGGUGGGGUAACGGCUCACCAAGGCGACGAUCCCUAGCUGGUCUGAGAGGAUGACCAGCCACACUGGAACUGAGACACGGUCCAGACUCCUACGGGAGGCAGCAGUGGGGAAUAUUGCACAAUGGGCGCAAGCCUGAUGCAGCCAUGCCGCGUGUAUGAAGAAGGCCUUCGGGUUGUAAAGUACUUUCAGCGGGGAGGAAGGGAGUAAAGUUAAUACCUUUGCUCAUUGACGUUACCCGCAGAAGAAGCACCGGCUAACUCCGUGCCAGCAGCCGCGGUAAUACGGAGGGUGCAAGCGUUAAUCGGAAUUACUGGGCGUAAAGCGCACGCAGGCGGUUUGUUAAGUCAGAUGUGAAAUCCCCGGGCUCAACCUGGGAACUGCAUCUGAUACUGGCAAGCUUGAGUCUCGUAGAGGGGGGUAGAAUUCCAGGUGUAGCGGUGAAAUGCGUAGAGAUCUGGAGGAAUACCGGUGGCGAAGGCGGCCCCCUGGACGAAGACUGACGCUCAGGUGCGAAAGCGUGGGGAGCAAACAGGAUUAGAUACCCUGGUAGUCCACGCCGUAAACGAUGUCGACUUGGAGGUUGUGCCCUUGAGGCGUGGCUUCCGGAGCUAACGCGUUAAGUCGACCGCCUGGGGAGUACGGCCGCAAGGUUAAAACUCAAAUGAAUUGACGGGGGCCCGCACAAGCGGUGGAGCAUGUGGUUUAAUUCGAUGCAACGCGAAGAACCUUACCUGGUCUUGACAUCCACAGAACUUUCCAGAGAUGGAUAUGUGCCUUCGGGAACUGUGAGACAGGUGCUGCAUGGCUGUCGUCAGCUCGUGUUGUGAAAUGUUGGGUUAAGUCCCGCAACGAGCGCAACCCUUAUCCUUUGUUGCCAGCGGUCCGGCCGGGAACUCAAAGGAGACUGCCAGUGAUAAACUGGAGGAAGGUGGGGAUGACGUCAAGUCAUCAUGGCCCUUACGACCAGGGCUACACACGUGCUACAAUGGCGCAUACAAAGAGAAGCGACCUCGCGAGAGCAAGCGGACCUCAUAAAGUGCGUCGUAGUCCGGAUUGGAGUCUGCAACUCGACUCCAUGAAGUCGGAAUCGCUAGUAAUCGUGGAUCAGAAUGCCACGGUGAAUACGUUCCCGGGCCUUGUACACACCGCCCGUCACACCAUGGGAGUGGGUUGCAAAAGAAGUAGGUAGCUUAACCUUCGGGAGGGCGCUUACCACUUUGUGAUUCAUGACUGGGGUGAAGUCGUAACAAGGUAACCGUAGGGGAACCUGCGGUUGGAUCACCU